rnacentral:rRNA from 1 species
UACGAAGGGGACUAGCGUUGUUCGGAAUUACUGGGCGUAAAGCGCACGUAGGCGGAUUCGUAAGUCAGGGGUGAAAUCCCGGGGCUCAACCUCGGAACUGCCUUUGAUACUGCGGAUCUCGAGUCCGAUAGAGGUGGGUGGAAUUCCUAGUGUAGAGGUGAAAUUCGUAGAUAUUAGGAAGAACACCAGUGGCGAAGGCGGCUCACUGGCCCGGUACUGACGCUGAGGCGCGAAAGCGUGGGGAGCAAACAGG